UGUUUCAAGAUUUCCAGUAUUUUGACGAUUUCCCAACAUUAAUCUUUCAGAUACGGCCAUACCAUGUAAGAAAAAUCCUCAUCUCGUUCGAUCUGAGAAGAUAAGUUGCAUCGGGCCUUCCUAGUACUCAAGUUGGAGACAAUUGGGGAAAAUAAGGUGCUGUAUCUUUUAUUUUUUCAUUUUUUUAUAUGGGGACAUUUGAUGACACAUAAAUAACCACUUUUAUUAUAUCAAAUCUUGUUUUUAUAAGAUUUUACAUAUAUUUUUGGAUAGAUCUAGAGACGAUCUACAGAUUCAUAUUUAUUAGAACUCAACGACUUAAUUUUUUAAGUUGAAAAAAUAUGUUUUAAAUUUUUUAAAAAAAUUCAAAAAAGUGGGGUAAAGGGUUCAAAUCCCUGAAAUUUCAACAUUUUCAAAUAUUUGCCAUCUUGGAUUUAGAAGUUUAGAUAUUUAUAUUUGGAAACUAGAUAUAUUCAGGAUUCUUACCAUAUAUGUAGAUCGAUUUAUAAUUAAAAAUUGAUUAAAAAAUUUUUGAAGUGUAACUUGGAUUUUCAAGUUUCGGUAACGUUACUCACCCAAUCUCAAACAU
rnacentral:rRNA from 1 species